UACGAAGGGGGCUAGCGUUGCUCGGAAUCACUGGGCGUAAAGCGCACGUAGGCGGCUUUCUAAGUCAGGGGUGAAAUCCUGGAGCUCAACUCCAGAACUGCCUUUGAUACUGGAGAGCUAGAGUCCGGGAGAGGUGAGUGGAACUCCGAGUGUAGAGGUGAAAUUCGUAGAUAUUCGGAAGAACACCAGUGGCGAAGGCGGCUCACUGGCCCGGUACUGACGCUGAGGUGCGAAAGCGUGGGGAGCAAACAGGG
rnacentral:rRNA from 1 species